CUUUGACCUCACUAUUGGACAGCUUGGGACCCCAGAAUAUAAAACACCUUUUGCUACUCUUGACGAAGGCAAAAUGAAUACAAAAGAAAUGGUAACGCACAUUCACUUUAGCGCUCUAAACUGGUAUGUCAUUUUUUUCGUUUUUUAUUUUCCAAAUUUCAUUGUGUUUAGGAUGUUCUAGGUUAUCUAUGAAGUCCCAAAUACAAAUAUUUCCAUUUUUCCCUAUAGAGGACUCGAUUUGCAACAAGUUUGCCGAAGACAGUAUCCUAUUUUAUUGAAUGGGUGAUUUUCUACAGUCGUUUCUAUGUUGAGGUCAUAUAUAAGCCUGUAAGGGGUGAGUAUCACAAAAUAAUCAAUCGUGUUCGCUAUUGUCUCGCAUGAAAAUCAAAACAAUAGAUGCGCGGGUGUUUAGUGUUCAGUAUUGCGAUGUUCCUUGCUGUGCAUGCUGUAUAAUCGAUCGUGUUCGCUAUUGUCUCGUGCGAGAAUGAAACCAAUAGACGAGAGCAUGUUUAGUUUGUAGUAUUGUGAUGUUGCUGUGCCUGAGAGUGUCGGAAAAUAGUGUCGCACGAUCAUGUCGUUUUAAGCGAUCGGUGGACGGCGGCUCGAGUGAAUGACUGAUAAUCGGUGAGCUUGUUCCUUGUUUUUCGCAGUAUAUGUAUCCAUUAGCUCAAAACCAUCCUUCACAUAUUUACUCAACAAAAACUGUAAAGUUUGUCACUUCAACUGUCGGCUCAAUUUAUCAUUAAUUUUGUUUCAUUUUAAUUAUUUUUUUUUGUAUUUUCAUACAGCCCGCCACCUUACGGUGAUGGCCACACGUAUUUGAUCCGUCGGCACAAAGUUUUGUUAUAAUAUAUCGAGUUCAUGGCCAGUAGCAAUGAAUAUUGAUUCACCAGUUCUCCCAAUUACGAGGUGACGCAAAAUCUUUUUAAUUCCAAAUUUCCAUUUAGAAUUUUCAUGGUCUCAACAUUCUUCCCAAUUGUGAGGUGACACAUUUGUAUACUGUAUAAAUGCUCACGGUUGCAUGGAUCGCAUCGCUUACCAAAGUGAAUCCUUGAUCUAUGCAACUGCCAAACCCUCCCUACUAACAAAACUUCUUCCCGUGACAACUGUUGAGGAUCCAGUAGUACAUAAAACCUCUAACAUUUCUUCCCUUCUUCGGUUGACCGUAAGGACGUGGCCGGCGCCGUUAUUGACCCAAUAAAGUUAGAGCUCUCGGAACGUGUACAUUGAGGAUGAUGUGCUAAUCCCAAGCAUCUUCUGUUGGUUCUCUGUGCUAACUCUGGUCAAUCACGAAGUAGCAACUACGCAGUGUACGGUCACCAAUGCUCAUGCUCAUGUUCCCAAAAUCGCUACGCUUAUAGAUCCGGAGUUUUCCAGCAACGUAUGUUAAGAACGAUAUUUGGCGGUCAGCAGAAGAACCGUGUGUAACGGAGAAGAAUGAACUACAUACCAAAUAUACUAUAUUAACAAUAUAGGUCACUCUUACGAUUUUUUGGCGACACCUUUUUAGUGAAUGUGGCGCCACCAAGCGUCAGAAGAGGUACUACUACACACUAAAUGCAUGCGCUAUCCGAAUGACGUUUAUUCCGUCGAACUGUCAUUGCAUGGUAGGGAUGCCCAUUUCUUCUGAAAAAAUCGAUUAAACAUUAAUCGAUUUUUUUUUCAACUACUCAAAUUAAAACAAAUUUUAUUUUCUCUUCUCGAACAAUUUCUGGCGUAGGGUAUUGGUUCCCUUAUUAAGCACGUGGCUCCCAUUUUCAUCCCACAAAAAUCAAAGGAUUGAAGCGCUGUUUGUUUUGUUUCUUAUUUUUUGUAUUUUUUGUUAGAAGUGAGCACCCAUGAAAACAAAAAGAACGGAGUCAAUCGGUGCCGUAAUCGCUUGUUUUCGAACAGGAUGAAAAUGAGAGCAUGAGAUUACUGAUGGCACACAUACCCUAUAUUAUCGUCGCAGCACCAAAUCGAAGCUGCGACAUACGAAGUUGCAGAUGAGAAGUAAAUUUGAACCGAUAAACGUACAUAACAGACUAAAACACAGACGACCCAAAUCGAACUUUCCGUUAGCGAGCGAUGAACGGUAUUUUCUCCGGAAAUUACACAAGAAUUUUCUUGUGGGAUCCCUUUAAGAUUUGCACCCUGGUUUUUUUUUCUCCAAGAUUCCUCCUGAAGCUCUUGGGGGAUUCCUCCUAGAAAUUAUUCUGGAAUUAUUUUAGGAACUCCUUUCGGAAUUGCUCAGGGAAAACGUUCCAGCGUUCCUCCUCCAUCCUCGAACAUUUUUUUAUCUGGGAUUACAUAUCUCCAUGAAUAAAACGAAAUCAGUGAAGUACUAGAUUUGUAGUAUCAUGAUUUGUAUAAUGAGAAAGUAAAUUCUCCGUUGCAAUAAUAUGGUAACUACAAUAAUGGUAACAAAAAAGCAAGGGUUUUAUGACUGCUUGCGUGAUUUGAUGCUGAUUGAGCAAAACUACGUUGUUAUAUUCUCAUUUAAUGCAACUUCAACAACAUAUUUCCCCAAAGUUUUGCUCAAGCAGCAUCAAACUAGGCGCAGGAGGAUUUCUGAUACUUCAAAGAGGGACCUUCUGAAGGAAGAGGAAUCCUGGAAAGAUCCCUCGGAAAAUAUUAAUUAAAUUGUUCAUAUAAAAUCGCGUUGGUGAUUUACAAAGUCACUUUGGAAUUUCUCCGAAAUUUCAAAAGAAAUCCUUGAAAAAUCCCAGAAGACUCGGUGGAAAUCCUUAAAUGACGGAGUGAAUUCCAGAAGGAACUUUUGGAGGAAUACUGGUAGAAAUCCCGGUUGAAAUUCCCAGAAGGAGGAAUUUUUGAAGGAGCUCUUGGAUAAAUCCUUAAAACAACUCCUGGUCGUUCUUGGAAAAUUUUGGAGGAAUUCCAGAAGGAAUUCCGGGAGGUAUUCCAGAAGGAAUUCCGGGAGGUAUUCGUAAAAAAAAACUCCUGAGGGAAUUGUUGAAGGAGCUGAGCUUCUGCAGGAAUCCAAAAAAAACUCCAAGAAACUCCUAUAAGGAAUUCCUAUAAGGAACUUCUUGACGAAUCCUAGAAGAGAAUUCUUGAGGAUUCCUAGAAUUAAUUCUUGAAGGAACAUCAGAAGAAAUUGCUGGAGUAAUUUCAGUAGGAACUCCUGGGGGUUCCUCGUAGGAACCUCUGGAGAAAUUUAAGAAAAAAAAACUUCAAAUCAAUCUCUGAAGGCACUCCUGGAGGAAUUUCAAAAAGAGCUACUGAAUGAAUCUCAGAAAAAAAAACCCAGAAGGAAACCAAGGGGAAUGACCGGGAAUGACAUAUCCUUUUCUAAUGGGAAAAUCCGCAUGUAUCCGUUCCUAACCGUCGCUAACCGCUGCUUACUGAGCCGCAGGUGUAGUUAGACGCGAUUAACGAUGGUUAGCAACGGAUAAACAACAACGGAUUUUUCCGGUUAGCAAAGGAAACGAAAAAACUGAGAAGAAUCGUCCGUUGGAAAAUCAGAAGGAAUUCAGAAGGAACAUCUGAAGGAAUGCCUGACUAAAUUUAUAGAGGAUUAUCACUCCUGCAGCAGGCGAAUUUGCUAGAAUAGUUUUACUAACUGAAGUUCACCCAGAAGCCCAUGACUUAUAUUUAAAAAUAAGCUUUGCAAGGAUUUCGCGACGAUCGUGUAAAUGUUCAAUCUUUGACAGCACAAUGUUCACACAUCCAACAACAAAGGAAACCGAUUAGUCCGGAAUAAAACAACCAGUAUUCGAAUAAACUCACAGUUCACUUCGGAAGAACAACGAAAUUAAUCGAAAUUAAAUUUGACGGGUUAUAUUCUUAGGUCCGGUCCCGGAGCUCAUUUUUUGUAAGCACGGAACGCUCAAACGUUGAAAUUUCGUGCAUCUGCCCAUUAGCUUGUGCACCCUUGGAUUCAAUGUCUUGCACUCUGCCACAAGAAAUUUGACGUGUAUUUGGUUGGUGAUCUUCGUCAGCGUGGACAUUAAGAAAGAUGAUAUUAAAAGCCAUUGUCAAAGGAAAAUAGCAACCACCUGGGCAAAAUAUAAGUUAAUUUUGAGGGUGAAAAUUUUAAAUUUCGAAGUGAAACGAUUUCGAUGACGUUACACUGAAAAUAUUCUACACGUUCGAAUCACACGUUUCACACAUGAAUUUUCACUAGUGGGAAAACAAUUGAAUUUAACGUGUCAAACCAGUCGUAGAUACACUUUUCGAAAUCGUGUGUAAAACACGUUAAUAUGACAUCAUAAAUGUCAAUUUUCUUCAGAAUAUUAGUAAAAGGCAUCCAGCUUUGGGUUCCUGUCCUCCAAAAAUGAAGCAUGCUAAUACAUACCUAACGCGAGCGAGUUCGGUGAUGUGCAUUAAGUUGAAGGCGAAUCAUUUCCAUUAUCGAUACAUAAACACACUGUCAAACACGAUCAAAUCAUGUGUAAAAGACAGUGGUUCAGAACCUAAACUAUUCAACAUCAGUUUCAAAAUUUACACGUUAAUAUAGCUUGCUGUUUUAAACGAUAAAUUAACGCGUAAAAAAACAUGGAUGAGGCGUUUUGAUUAUUUUCAGUGUACAAUGAGGGAGCAUUCAAAUUCUUCUACAGAUGUACUCGUAGAUUUCAUCUAAUGAAAUAUAGCGCAUUGAGUUCACAACUGGACUAUUACACGAAUUUUCAUGAGUGCGAAAACGUAAUUUAAAGUGCGCGAUUGCAACAAAUCAACUCGGUGUGUUCAGAGCACUUAUUCAUCAUAAAUCAAAGAAAUAGUGCGCUGAAGACAUCAACUGGAUUUGAUGCAAUCGCGCACUUUUAUUAACCUUUUCGCACUUAUACAGACCGAGUGCGCAGUCCAGUGAUGAAAUAAAUGGGCAAUAUUAUUUUGUUUAUGUAUAUUGUAAAUCGAUUAUUUAUUCGAUUAUUUUGGAACAAAAAACGUUGACACCCCUUACAUCUUUUUUUCAGAAAUGUCACCUUGCACGGUAAACAAAAAUUGAUCAAAAUACAAUUAUUGACUUUUUCUGACAGCAGGUGGUGCUGUAAUCAUUCGUAAACGGCGUCUCCAUGUCGUUGUAUGUGAAAACACGAAGUGACCUAUAUUGUUAAUAUAGUAUAUUUGUACAUACGCUCGCUGCCCUCUACGGAGAAUCCAGAAUCCAGAAGAGGACCAGAGCCGGAAAGAUACGGUGGGCAGGUUGUCAUGUUGCAACAAUGCCUAACAACAACCCUGCAAACUUGGGAUUCACCACUGAUCCGGUAGGCACAUUUAUUGUGUAUGGAGCAUUGGACGUGACCGAGGAUUGGGAUUGACAGUCGUAAAUCGAUAAUUGUGGCGUACCAUUGUUAAUAAUGUGUUACCUGUUUUGUCAUGUAGUGCAAAUAAAUGUAUGUAAUGUAAUUUGUCAUAUCAUCUCGUUAUUAACUAUUCGCACACCUUCCGCUAAGAAUACAAAACAACAAAAUCCUCAACAGCACUGAUCUAUUUUCGUCCACAGAGUGAAUCUCCACGGAUCGGCAAGAACCGCUUCUAGAACAACUUUAUCAUCCUCACACACCACCGGUACCGACCAACGACGACACAUCAAGUCCAUUAGUCUACUCAGUUUCCACAACAAACGUUCGAAGCGGGGAGCCAUCCAUCACACCGACGACGGACCGGAGAGACAUACUUCCUUUCCCUGUGGUGACCCAGAACUCAAUAGGAAGCCCGACCAAAGGCCAGACUUCAUUUGGUAGUACAGUUUACAUACGUAAGAACGAACACGGUCGUCUCCACCAUACGGAAAAAGAGCACCGUCACAUGGGCGCAUAUGGCUAUUGGUCGACUCACUCGGCGAUAACCCAAACGAGGCAGCAACAGGAGUAGUGUUCUGAAUAGCGAAAAUGCAUUCAAAUCGAUCCAUUGCUGGUUUGCAUUUGCAAUUCACUGUCACCACCACAUAUUUUAAGGUAACAUGUACAAUUGUAAAAUUGUAUGCUUAUUGUGAAAUUAUGGAAAAAAUGUAUCACUUUACUUACAAGUAACUACGUGAGCAGCACACAUCAAUACAGAAGUACAAAAUAUGAACAGCGAUAAUGCACUUGUUCCAGUUGGGA